rnacentral:rRNA from 1 species
UACGUAGGGUGCGAGCGUUAAUCGGAAUUACUGGGCGUAAAGCGUGCGCAGGCGGUUCGUUGUGUCGGCGGUGAAAGCCCCGGGCUCAACCUGGGAAUGGCCGUUGAAACUGGCGAACUGGAGUGUGGCAGAGGGGGGUGGAAUUCCCGGUGUAGCAGUGAAAUGCGUAGAGAUCGGGAGGAACAUCUGUGGCGAAGGCGGCCACCUGGACCAGCACUGACACUGAGGCACGAAAGCGUGGGGAGCAAACAGG